rnacentral:rRNA from 1 species
GACGAACGCUGGCGGCGUGCUUAACACAUGCAAGUCGAACGGAAAGGCCCUGCUUUUGUGGGGUGCUCGAGUGGCGAACGGGUGAGUAACACGUGAGUAACCUGCCCUUGACUUUGGGAUAACUUCAGGAAACUGGGGCUAAUACCGGAUAGGAGCUCCUGCUGCAUGGUGGGGGUUGGAAAGUUUCGGCGGCUGGGGAUGGACUCGCGGCUUAUCAGCUUGUUGGUGGGGUAGUGGCUUACCUAGGCUUUGACGGGUAGCCGGCCUGAGAGGGUGACCGGCCACAUUGGGACUGAGAUACGGCCCAGACUCCUACGGGAGGCAGCAGUGGGGAAUAUUGCACAAUGGGCGGAAGCCUGAUGCAGCGACGCCGCGUGCGGGAUGACGGCCUUCGGGUUGUAAACCGCUUUCGCCUGUGACGAAGCGUGAGUGACGGUAAUGGGUAAAGAAGCACCGGCUAACUACGUG